GCCACAGUGGUGUAGUGGGCGAGCACGUCGUGGCAGUCCCACGGAAACGUAGGUUCGAAUCCUAGCCUGAGGUC